UUGGUUUAUGGAUCAUCAGCUGUCCAUAAAUCAAAACGCGCAUAGCGCGUUUUGAUUAUUACCGUUGCAGCACGUUGGAAGACUGAAAUACCCACACUCACGUUCGCCCUCAUCUCUGAUCUCUGCUCUCCCUUCGCAUUUUUGACGCCUCCCAUCUCUGAUUCUGCCUUGCUCUGCCUUCGUACCAACCUCUACGGAUCUGCUACGAAAAAACAGGUACCAACACUGAUCUGUUUUUUUUUUUUUUUUUUAGGCUUUGUUGAUUCAUCGAAUUGAAAUGUAUUUAGGCUUUGUUGGUGUCUCUGUAUUUAGGCUUUGUUGGUUUUCUCGAGAACCAAACGGGAGAGGUAACGUUGGAAUGUUGGAAUGUUUAGGCUUUUUUCUCUGUAUUUAGGCUUUUUUGUUCUCGUUGUUGUUGGGUCCAUUGUAUUUAUAAAUGAUUUGUGUUCUGUUCUGUUCUGUGCAUAUUUGUGUUCUGUUCUGUUCUGUUCUGUUCUGAUCUGUUCUGUGCAUAUUUGAGAAGAAUUUGUGUGUUUACUAUUUCUCGUUAUGAUUUUUGAUUGCCUGCCUUAUGGGAAGGUUAGGAAUCGUCAAUUUAUGCUAA